ACCAUUUAUUGUACAAAUAUUGACAAAAAGGUGAUUUUCUUGUAGUCUGUAGUUGAAAAUGACCCAGAGCAAUUAUCUAUGGAACUUCUUACACGUUUAUUCGGUUUGUCUUGUGUAGGUUGCACAAGCUGAUGUUAAACUCUUUUUUGAAUCAGUCUGUGGAGAGGUUUAUCGCCUAAGGCUGCUUGGGGACUAUCAUCAUUCUACUCGUAUUGCCUUUGUUGAGUUUGUAAUGGUAUCUAUCUGUUUCAAUAUUCCUACAUUCAAUAUUCUGUGUUUGUGUAUUAUAUGCUUUCUUUUCCACCAUUUUUAAUUGUUAUAUUUAAUGUAGAAAUUAGGGAAGGUCUAUUGUGACAAGUGAGGUUUUCAGAUGACCAUGUCAUUUUUAGAGAAUGUUUUAAUUCUUGAGAAGAAGGUUGACAAAUAGGAUGAUUUGUUACUUAUUUGAAAAUUUUAUUUUCCAUCCGAAGCCUGUGCAUUGUCAAAUGGAAACAUUAAUUAAUUUAUUCCUUUUAUUUUUUUUGGGUGAAAAAGAAACCGUACUACCCAUGAAGGUUAGGUUGUGUGGCAGCCCCAUAGUUUGCUCCCAUGACGUCUGACCGCUGACCAUAUAUGAAGGAAGAAAGUAGCUUGUAGUGACCACGCUGACCAUAGGCCCUCAUCUCUUGUAAUAGAUUAAUAAAUUACCAAGGCUUCUGUCUUUCUUUAGGAUCAUUUUUUCAUCCUUGGCAUACGAGAGGAAGCAAUAACUAUUGAUUUUUCAUCUCACUUGGAUGUGACCUUCCUACCACCUUUUUGGUUUUCACGGAGGCAUGAUCCUGCAUAUGUCACUCUAAUUGAUUGUUGUUUAGUCUUUUGCAAGUCUUAAGCUAGACUGAAGUCUGAUAGAUAACUUCCUUUUGAAUUUUUAUUUUUAUAUAUAUAAUAUUUAUAUAAAUUACCAAGCA